GAGUUGUAAUUUGCAGAGGAUGUUAUGGAAUCUGUAUGGACUCAAAUUCUUUGGAAAAAGAUGCCAUGGAGAGUGACAGACUCGUACUUUCCACUACAUUUUCCAUGUAUAACUCCUUCAAAGAGUCGAGUUGUUUGGGAAUGCAGCUCUAAGUGGGACGUAAAUUUGUUCCAAAGCUAAAUACCGGCUAGAGACCGAUAGCGCACAAGUAGAGUGAUCGAAAGAUGAAAAGCACUUUGAAAAGAGAGUUAAAAAGCACGUGAAAUUGUUGAAAGGGAAGCUUAUGUCAUCAGUAAUGACGGCAUUGUUCAGCCUUUUGGUGUAUUCAAUGUCUCGUCAGGCUAGCAUCAGUUUGGAUAGCUGGAUAAAAGUGUUGGAAAUGUAACUUCUCCGGAAGUGUUAUAGUCCGAUACAGAAUGCAGCUUAUCC
rnacentral:rRNA from 1 species